UGUGCCUUGGUGCUGGAGAGAUGCUUGAAUUAUAGGUACCCCUCCACCACCACCAAAAAAAGAAAAGCGGUUUCCUUGGCAACAAGAGAUAAGAGAAAGUGCUUGUAAAAUUCCAGCACCAGCUCAUUUUGAAGAAUGCAACGAAGCAGAUGGUUCGGAUCAUUCAGCAUGGACCAAGACCAAGAGUCUCUUCCAGUCCUUCAGUACCAAACUGGAACUGAUAAGACAUCUAGAUUUGUGGACUGAGCAAUCAAUCCAUUGAAUGAUGGCCCAGGAAGUUUGUUGUGGAAUUGUGUCUCCGUAUAAUAAUCAGAAGCUGCACCCAUAAAGUCUCACCAACAUGUCUGCCCACAUGUGAACUGAACAAAGACGACACCAAUGAACACGCCAAACUGGACAGAGAAGAGCUCACAAAGCCUCAACCCUCUUCAACUACAGGCAACAAAGGAAUGCUGCAGGUGCCGCAAUCUUAGAUGGAUGGCGAUGGAUCAAGAUAGAGACAGAGACCCAAUUUGGAGCAACGACUGAGCUCAUAAGGUCCAAAUGAGGAGCAGAAGGAGGGAGAACAUGAGCAAGGAAAUCAGGACCACGAGGGGUGCACCCACCCACUGUGACAGUGGAACUGAUCUAUUGGGAGCCCACCAAAGCCAGCUGGACUGUGACUGAAUAAGUAUGGGUUGAAACUGGACUCUCUGAACAUGGCAGACAAUGAAGGCUGAUGAGAAGCCAAGGACAAUGGCACUAGGUUUCGAUCCUAAUACAUGAACUGGCUUUGUGGGAGCUUAGCCUGUUUGGAUGCUCACUUUCCUGGAUCUAGAUAGAAGUGGGAGGACCUU